UUCUUGGUCAUUUAGAGGAAGUAAAAGUCGUAACAAGGUUUCCGUAGGUGAACCUGCGGAAGGAUCAUUAAAGAAAUUUAAUAAUUUUGAAAAUGGAUUUUUUUGUUUUGGCAAGAGCAUGAGAGCUUUUACUGGGCAAGAAGACAAGAGAUGGAGAGUCCAGCCGGGCCUGCGCUUAAGUGCGCGGUCUUGCUAGGCUUGUAAGUUUCUUUCUUGCUAUUCCAAACGGUGAGAGAUUUCUGUGCUUUUGUUAUAGGACAAUUAAAACCGUUUCAAUACAACACACUGUGGAGUUUUCAUAUCUUUGCAACUUUUUCUUUGGGCAUUCGAGCAAUCGGGGCCCAGAGGUAACAAACACAAACAAUUUUAUCUAUUCAUUAAAUUUUUGUCAAAAACAAGAAUUUUCGUAACUGGAAAUUUUAAAAUAUUAAAAACUUUCAACAACGGAUCUCUUGGUUCUCGCAUCGAUGAAGAACGCAGCGAAAUGCGAUACGUAAUGUGAAUUGCAGAAUUCCGUGAAUCAUCGAAUCUUUGAACGCACAUUGCGCCCCUUGGUAUUCCAGGGGGCAUGCCUGUUUGAGCGUCAUUUCCUUCUCAAACAUUCUGUUUGGUAGUGAGUGAUACUCUUUGGAGUUAACUUGAAAUUGCUGGCCUUUUCAUUGGAUGUUUUUUUUCCAAAGAGAGGUUUCUCUGCGUACUUGAGGUAUAAUGCAAGUACGGUCGUUUUAGGUUUUACCAACUGCGGCUAAUCUUUUUUUAUACUGAGCGUAUUGGAACGUUAUCGAUAAGAAGAGAGCGUCUGGGCGAACAAUGUUCUUAAAGUUUGACCUCAAAUCAGGUAGGAGUACCCGCUGAACUUAAGCAUAUCAAUAAGCGGAGGAA
rnacentral:rRNA from 1 species